rnacentral:rRNA from 1 species
AGAGUUUGAUCAUGGCUCAGAACGAACGCUGGCGGCGUGCCUAACACAUGCAAGUCGAGCGCGAAUGGAGCAAUCCUAGUAGAGCGGCGCACGGGUGCGUAACACGUGGGUAAUCUGCCUAGAAGACCGGAAUAACCUGCCGAAAGGCUGGCUAAUACCGGAUAAGCCUACAGAAUCCUUGGAUUCAGAAGGAAAAGGUGGCCUCUGUUUACAUGCUAUCACUUCUAGAUGAGCCCGCGGCCCAUCAGCUAGUUGGCGGGGUAAUGGCCCACCAAGGCAACGACGGGUAGCUGGUCUGAGAGGACGAUCAGCCACACUGGAACUGAGACACGGUCCAGACUCCUACGGGAGGCAGCAUGGGGGAAUUUUGCACAAUGGGCGAAAGCCUGAUGCAGCAACGCCGCGUGUGUGAUGAAGGUCUUCGGAUCGUAAAGCACUUUCGACCGGGACGAAAACCCGUUGGCUAACAUCCAACGGCUUGACGGUACCGGGAGAAGAAGCACCGGCUAACUCUGUGCCAGCCGCCGCGGUAAUAC